GACGAACGCUGGCGGCGUGCCUAAUACAUGCAAGUCGAGCGCAGGAAAUCAUCCGAACCCUUCGGGGGGACGUUGGUGGAAUGAGCGGCGGACGGGUGAGUAACACGUAAAGAACCUGCCCUCAGGUCUGGGAUAACCACGAGAAAUCGGGGCUAAUACCGGAUGGGUCAUCGGACCGCAUGGUCCGAGGAUGAAAGGCGCUUCAGCGUCGCCUGGGGAUGGCUUUGCGGUGCAUUAGCUAGUUGGUGGGGUAAUGGCCCACCAAGGCGACGAUGCAUAGCCGACCUGAGAGGGUGAUCGGCAACACUGGGACUGAGACACGGCCCAGACUCCUACGGGAGGCAGCAGUAGGGAAUCUUCCACAAUGGACGAAAGUCUGAUGGAGCAACGCCGCGUGAACGAUGAAGGCCUUCGGGUCGUAAAGUUCUGUUGUAAGGGAAGAACAAGUGCCGCAGGCAAUGGCGGCACCUUGACGGUACCUUGCGAGAAAGCCACGGCUAACUACGUGCCAGCCGCCGCCGUAA
rnacentral:rRNA from 1 species